AGAGUUUGAUCAUGGCUCAGGAUGAACGCUGGCGGCGUGCUUAACACAUGCAAGUUGCGCGGUGAUCUCAAGAAGUUUUCGGACGGAAAGGGAGAGCAGCAGCGGACGGGUGAGUAAAGCACAAGGACUUGUCCCGAAGAGGGGGACAACUGUGGGAAACCACAGCUAAUACCCCAUAAGCCGAGAGGUGAAAGCAGUAAUGCGCUUUAGGAGAGACUUGUGUCCUAUCAGGUAGUUGGUGAGGUAACGGCUCACCAAGCCGAAGACGGGUAGCCGGACUGAGAGGUUGUACGGCCACAUUGGAACUGAGAGACGGUCCAGACUCCUACGGGAGGCAGCAGGUGGGGAAUAUUGGGCAAUGGGGGCAAACCCCUGACCCAGCGACGCCGCGUGAGGGAAGACAGCCUUCGGGUUGUAAACCUCUGUUGCAGGGGAAGAAGAAAGUGACGGUACCCUGCGAGGAAGCUCCGGCAAACUACGUGCCAGCCGCCGC
rnacentral:rRNA from 1 species